GUCCAUUACAGUAUAUGUUGUUCAUAUUUACAUAAAUAAUGUAGUAAAAAUUGUUAAAGAAAGUCAGAAACUUCUCAAAUAUAUUUGCGAACUAGAUAAUCACUUUGCAUGUGCGACUCAAUGCCAGACGAUUUUCCUUUAAACAUGCUGCAACUGAUACUGCAUAGAACUUUAGUUGGAACAUAAGUUCUUAUAAAAGACUUAUUUCAAAUUAAAAACAGCUUCUUUUUUAUAGAAUGCAGAUUUGCUCAUGUCUGCCAUUUCACGCGCAAAAAUACUUAAAUUGUUAUAAAGUCCUUCUUUUCUCAAUAAUUUUUGAUUUGGCAAUGAAUAAAUCAGUUGCAGAGAAGCCAAAUCUGUGAAAUUAUAAACACAAGACAACAUUUUUCUCAUGUAUAUACACGAGGUUAAAAAAAACAACCAGGACACCAGCUCAAAAUUCCGUUACAAUAUAGUCCUGAUAUAAUGAGAUUGUACUCUCUCUUCUCGAGAAAUAAAUAGCAAUUGAAGUACUACAUACCUUGCUUGAUUCAAUAUGUAAAUAUUCCUGCGUCGAAAGCGCGGUAUCCAUAAAAAAAUAUGCAAAUUUUCGCCCAUAAAGAAGCUCCAACCAUUGGAAUAUUUGCA